UAUCUUGGGGUUCGGAAAUGGUGAGAUGGGGCCGUGAUUUCUGUUUUACAGAGGCAGUGUUGCCCUCACCGCCCAGCAUCUCUCUAGGGUCCCUGGACGGACGGUCACCUCUGGAGGGAUGUGUUACAGAUAACUGCGUGGGAAGCCCUGGCUACGGUUUGGGAUCGUCGGCGUUUGGGGCUCAGUGGCCUUAGUGGAAACUGUUGAUCGCUGCCUGCUGUUGUGUGAUUCCACGCUGCGUAUUUACCUCGGGGAGUUCAGUAGCCACGUGAGGUGUGCGCCAAGCCGAACUCUGCUGGGAGCCAGGGAGAUGCUCCGUCCCUCCUCUCGUUGUGUGCGGGGUAACUUUUUCAUUUCUUUGGCUGGCUGAUGUUUUGUGUGAUUGUGUUUUCAUUGCAGCAGUCGCGUCAGGAUAUACAAACUUUUCAACCUGGGAAGAUUUCCCAAAGAGGAUUAUUGCAGCCUUUGGGAUUCAGGCUGCCUCUUCACGUGCCCUUUGUGCCCCAUCUUUGUGUGCUCAAGGGAGGUCUUUUACUCUAGAAUUGAGGAG